ACAAGAUCCUGCCACUGACUGGACCAGGGAUUGGAACCUAUUAUGAAAAGCGCCAUCUAUAUGCUAAGCACAAGAUCAGCAGCCUCUGAAGAAACCUGAUUCAGAUAAAACCAAGAGCUUCCUCACACUCCUUCCCUGUUGAAAUGUGUAACUCCAAAGAACUUGGAAAUGUUAGCAUUCCGAUUUUGCUUGUCUUGUUAGAGGCUUGCACUAGCAACUGCUGAAAACCCACAAACAUGGACAAAUUGCUUUUAAUUCCAACCUUGGAUGAACUGAUUCAAAUAGGAUGGAUUAAUCUAUUCCACACUCUCUGCUGCUGCUAAUGAAGAAGACUAAAGAGCAACUUAAAUACCUCUCACCUUUUCUUUUGUAUUGUUGUUGGGCUUGGGAUGCUCCAGACCAAGCUACUCUAUGAGGUUGUGACACUUCCCUUAACACAAGCCUCCACUUAACAACCAGGGGAAACCUUUCCCCUAGAUAGCUGAAUAGGUUACCAUCAGUUUCCUCAGUUGCAUGAGCUCCACCUCAGUUGAUAAACAGGAAUAUUUAUAAAGAAAAAUAGAGAAAUAAAGGAAAAGUAAGCAAACAUUAUCUAUUGUGCAACAAGCAAAUCUCAGAAUCAUAGCAUUCCAUGAUACCUCAUAGCCCGUGACAAUAGAAUAAUUAUUCCCCAGUGUCAAUGGCAGGUUAUUUUUAUUCCGGGACCUUACUUGGCCUGAACC